AAUUAUCCGUAGUAAAACUAAUUAGACCAUUUUUAAAUAACUGAAUGUUCAUUUAAAUUAUUUAAACAUUAUAAUGGACCUACUGUAUAGGUGUUUUAUGUCGUAGAACAACUUCAAACAUCUUUAAAUGCUUGAAAUCAUUGAUUUUCACUGGUAGUUUAAGAAAACGCUUGACUACAAUGUAGGCAACACAAUCCCAAUUAUACCAUAUAAAGACUAUUAAUGUGUUAUAUCUGACAGGCUAAGAACUAACUACUUUGUCAUACAAUUGGCAAUGGGUUAUUUACUGCAUUUAAACUUAUGUCUCUUGCUACUUAGGUUUUCACUCAUGGAGAGAAGAACUUGGACCAAUCCAGGAUGCGGAGUACCAUAUCCAAGCGGGGAUUGAUAAACCAUGUCUCCAGCGUUUUAUCAAUAAUUUUAAAGCAUUGAUGCAUGUGAAAAGGACUCCUCUCUUGGGAGACUUGUUGAUGACGACCACAGAAGACCUAUUUUUGCAAAAUGAAAACCAUAAGUAAAGAAACCACACUUGUCUCUCCGCGAUUCGAGAUAUUACACCUGGAGAAGAACUGACUUACAACAACGUGACUCAAACUGGCCAUGGAGAGCACAGCCCCCAAAACACACUUCACUGGCACGGACACCCUGUUCAACAUGCCCGUCUCAGAUGAUAAUUUGCAGAGUGAGCGCUCGAAGUUGCAGGCCAGGAUUGACAAAUUAAAAACACCACAAUCGGUGUGAAACUCUGUAUGAAUCUACGGCUGAGAAGCGAAAUGCUCUUCAAAGACAGCGAACCUUACUCCUACUGCAAUUGGCAAACUUGGAUAAAAUGCUGGGCCCAGAAUCACAUCCAGUCACUUAAACAGCAGAAGAUUCUGUGAUACCCUCACCAACAGACACACAGGUAUGGUCAGAAAUUGACCAUGCAUCUCCAACCAGCGAAUGUGUACCACCACUGGAAAGAACGGAGUGUAUUUGUUGCCUUCCAAAUCAACAUGGACUAGGGUUAGGGUUCUUAACAUGAAUGACACCGAAAUGGACCAACUUGCUGAUUUCCUGGGACAUGAUAUUCGUAUCCACAGGAAAUAUUACAGAUUACCCGAGGGAACACUAUUAACAGGAGUGCGUUGAGCCUGAUCCUGGGAUAGAGAGUGAAACAGAACUGUCAGAUCAUUCUCAUGACGUGACGUCAAGUGAGACAGCAGGCACUUCAGGAGUGAAUAGCAGCAGGCCAGUAAACAUGAAUGAAGGAUCUCCAGAGAGGUCACGGGAGGUCAUGAAAGUAACAUCAGUUCCUAGGAAGAGAAAGUGGAGUGAGGUGGAGAUUGCGGCUGUAGAAGAGACAAUGAUGAAAUGUAUUCACUCGGGAGUUACUCCUGGAAAAGUCGACUACAUUGCAUGCAUUACAGCAGCCCCCAAAGCCCUCGGUGAACGAGACUGGCAGGCGGUGAAGUAUUAUAUAAAAAACAGAAUCACAGCAUAUGAGAGAAAGACCACUAAAAAGUAAGGUUGAUUUUGGUUGUUGAUUCCGUUUUUGCGUUUUAGUUGAAUUAUAAUAUUUUUUUUUUUUGGUCUCAAUACUAGGGCUGCACGAUAUUGGGGAAAAAGGACAUUGCGAUAUCUUAUUUUUCUGCGAUAUAUAUUGCGAUAUGAUAUCUAAUCUAAUUUUUUCUUACAAACAAAAAUGGCAUGAGCACACAUACAUUCUCAUUUUAAAUGAUUUAAACAUCAGAGUAUUGUUUAAAUUAGAGUAAAUUAUUUGUUUGUAACUUUAGGAUAUGGUUUGAAUUGUUAACAUUAACUAACAUGAACUUACCAUGAGCAAUACUUGUGUUACUAUAUUUUUUAAUCUUUGUUUAUCUUCGUUAUCUUAAACACAGCUGUUCAUUGUUUGGUAAUGUUACUUCACAGUAGGGAUGCUCUGGUUGACCGGCCAUUAAUCGGAACCGGCCGGUUUUUGCUUAAAAUACGCAAUCGCCCGUUUUUGGUGUUUUUCCGGCCGAUUAUUCCGGAAGUGCGCUCGCGUGCACAGACUACAUUGUAAUCGUUCGCUAUGUAAUUUGUGUGGAAGAGUAUUUCGAAAUCUGUGCGCAGGACACAGGCAGUCGAUCAGUACCGGAAAUGCAGAGCUUCAUGUCUGAGGCACAGAUGGCAGGAAGUGAACAGCCCUGUUGUACUGCCGCACAAAUAAGAGCCUUUCCUGCACACUGAAGCUGCGCGAGCGUAUACUUUAUCUGUCCGCGCCCUGAACACGAGUAGACCGUGAAGAGAUGUUCAGCUCAACUUCUCACGUGUUGGAUGAGAAACGAAACGGACUAAACUGUGACAAAACAGAAUUAUUUUUUAUUUAUUUAUUUUACUUUUUAUUAUUAUUAUUAGAACUUGCAUUCAUGUUUGAAAAGCCAGAAAUAAACUUCAGUUCUGAAUUAGGAUGAUUAUUUUUAUUUUACCCUAAAAUAGACUUAAUUUAAUUUAAAAAUCAUCUGCUGUAGCACACUGAAAAAAAGUAUUUCAUCUAAUUAAAAUAUUUUAGGGUAAUGAUUCACAUCUAUAUUUUUUUUACUUGAGUCAACAAGUUAUUUAUUUUUCACUGGCUCAAGUAAAAAAAAUAUAGAUGUGAAUCAUUAUCCUAUUUAUUUUUUAAUUAUUAUUAUUAUUGGAUGAAUGAAACCCUUUGCAUCUUUGUUUUAUUCGCACAAACAUUAUUUGAUUUUAACAUUUUGGAAAAUGUAUUUAUAUAGCAUACUUUUAUUUAGUCUCACUGGUAAAGACCUUUUUUUUUUAACUUAAAACCAAAUUUAAAAACUAAAAUACUGAAUGCUGAUCAAGAAACAUCUUUUUGAAUGUGUGUUGAUUGUGUUGUUUGGACUGUAGAACUAUGCAGUUGUUACCUUUAAUUUCACAUGGUUACAGUUAAUCUUUUAUUUAAGGCCAGUUCUCUGUAGUUUCAACCCAAUUAAAAAACAAAAGCUAAAUGCUGAUGUCUGUACCAUCUGUGUUUGUAUUGAAUGUAGGCUACUUAUUGUGCAGUUACUGCUAUUAAUUUAAUAAACAAGAUUUGACAACACAGAACACGUCAUAGAAUUAUAAUUUUUUUUUCCGACAUCGUUUUUUGAUUUUGAUAAAUUUGCGCGAGGGAGAGAGCAAGACAACGCUUGUGUUGUUUGAAGACGGUGAAGGUGGGCGUGAGCGCGUGGCUGGGCUCUCUCUCUCUCUCUCUCUCUCUCUCUCUCUCUCGUGCUCUUUCUCUCUCUC